rnacentral:rRNA from 1 species
UACGUAGGGUCCAAGCGUUGUCCGGAAUUAUUGGGCGUAAAGAGCUCGUAGGCGGUCUGUUGCGUCGGUUGUGAAAACCCGGGGCUCAACUCCGGGCCUGCAAUCGAUACGGGCAGACUAGAGUUCGGUAGGGGAGACUGGAAUUCCUGGUGUAGCGGUGAAAUGCGCAGAUAUCAGGAGGAACACCGGUGGCGAAGGCGGGUCUCUGGGCCGAUACUGACGCUGAGGCACGAAAGCGUGGGGAGCAAACAGG